rnacentral:tRNA from 1 species
CGGAUGUAGCUCAGUUGGUAGAGCAUCAGCUUCCCAAGCUGAGGGUCGCGGGUUCGAUCCCCGUCAUCCG